UUGAAUUUUAAUGAAGAGUUUGGUUGUAGCUGGCCCACUCAUUUGGGCAUGUGCACACCUUCCUCUUUCAUCCCACACACACCUGUGAACCUGUGAGACAGAGAUGGGGAAUUUACUUGCUGCUUUUUGGAAUACAAAGGCAAUAGGUUAUUGGACCCCCCCUCUGUCUACUCAAUUAAUAUAAACUCAAUUUAUUUUAAAACGAAUGUAAUGGAUGUAACACAUCUCAUAC
rnacentral:misc_RNA from 1 species